CCUACGGGAGGCAGCAGUGGGGAAUCUUGCGCAAUGGGCGAAAGCCUGACGCAGCAACGCCGCGUGCGGGAAGAAGGCUUUCGGGCUGUAAACCGCUUUCAGCAGGAACGAAAAUGACGGUACCUGCAGAAGAAGGAGCGGCCAACUAUGUGCCAGCAGCCGCGGUGAUACAUAGGCUUCAAGCGUUGUCCGGAUUUAUUGGGCGUAAAGAGUUCGUAGGCGGUCGAGUAAGUCGGGUGUGAAAAUUCUGGGCUCAACCCAGAGACGCCACCCGAUACUGCUUGACUUGAGUUCGAUAGGGGAGUGGGGAAUUCCUAGUGUAGCGGUGAAAUGCGCAGAUAUUAGGAGGAACACCGGUGGCGAAGGCGCCACUCUGGAUCGAUACUGACGCUGAGGAACGAAAGCAUGGGUAGCAAACAGGAUUAGAUACCCUGGUAGUCCAUGCCGUAAACGGUGGGCACUAGGUGUGGGUUUCUAUUAACGAAAUCCGCGCCGUCGCUAACGCAUUAAGUGCCCCGCCUGGGGAGUACGGUCGCAAGCUAAACUUAAAUGAAUUGACGG
rnacentral:rRNA from 1 species